CCGAACACCGCCAGCUUCUUGUUGGGAGCGGGGCGAUGACGGCACCUCUGGUUGUGCUGGAAUUUCUGUCGCUUUCAUUCUUUGAGCUGUUUUGGAGCGUCAUUGCCGAGGUUUCAGUCGCCUGGCGGCGUCUUCACCCCCGAGUGCCAACGCCGUUUGUUUUCUGUCAUUGUGCAUGUUCGCUGGGAAUAGAGCCGCUGGAUGCAAAGCUCCAUAGCGCUGCUCUGCUACCUGCAGCUGGUCAAGAAGUCGAAUAAUGACCUCGAGCAGUAAAGCAGAUUUUGUGGCUUUAGAGUCGGAAGUCGUAAACCGAUGUGUUGGAGCACCAAAGUGACAUGGCCAGCUCCAGAGCAGCACCCGGGCCACACUGGACGUGCCAGGCACCGUCUGCUGUGUGACUGAGGCAGUCCAGGAGCUCUGCUGUGAGUAGCUGUGAUACCCUGUAGGUGCGGGGUAGGCCCAGCAGCAGAGGAGGAUGAAGAACACGUGAAGGUGGCCGCGUGUUUCAGGCUGUGUUGCUUACUGAUGAAAUGUCAGUAGUUGGACUUUUCUGCUAACACCUGUACAGUCUCUGGAGUGCUGAUAUAAGGCGUGUUUAGUGACGGGGCACGUGGCGGUGACCGCAGGGGUGAACACGCUGCAGGGCGACUGCGGGUGUCCGUUAACUUCAUAUCAUGAGGACCGAGUCGGCAUAUCUGACACCUGGUGUUCUCGUAUAUAGACUGCCUUCAUUCAGAAGAUCCCACAGAAACGUUUCCAAGCGUUCGGCCGCCACGUCGUGUUUUAUGCCGUUGGUCUGCCUUGAAGAGCUGGGCCAUUCGAACACAGACGGGAAAGAAGAGCCAGAGAUGCAACUCUUAACAAAAAAAAGAAAAGAAAAAAGGCAACUAACGUGUCCCCGGGUCCCUCUGAGUAUCAUUCGUUGUGUGUUUUUUUGUUUGUCGGCGUUCUUCAUCACACGAGGCUGUGUUCACUCAUGGGUAGAGCAGAGUAGUCAUCGAGUCUCAACAAGGUUUUCUUUCAAAGAGCCCGAACUUGUGUUCCAGUCAGACUGGACCUCUCCCUCUGUACAGUAGGUACCUCGAGUGCCUUUCUUCAAACAGCAGAUAAUAUUUGUCUCUUGACUUGCACUGUGACUUGUAGAACCUUACUAACCCCUCCAUAUGACCCUCCGGUCCCCCGUCCCAGGAGCUCCCCCCAAACUCCGGAGCACAAACUCGGUCCCUCCACCUCAGGCUGCCAGUAGUCAAUGCAAGUUAAUCUACAUUUCAUAUAUGAUGCCGUUUGAAAUCGACCGCAUAGUGUUUUGUUGAUGUUUAAUAGAGGAGUUGCCUUACAUGUGGUUUUGUUUUUUCUUUUUUUCCUGUGAUUAACUUUUACAUUCUGAUUUAAAAAAAAACAAACACCUGUGCAGACGCUGGCGAAGGUCAGAGGUCGUUUGGUGAGAAGCAGUCGGGGUUUUCCCGACGAUGAUGACGAUGACCCGCUCGGAGCUGUGUUGUGAUGCACUUUUUGAUUUGACCAGUAUUAUUGGACCGGGAUCGGUCUGCGACGCAGAGCGCAGGCGUGGAUCCCAGUUCCCCGAAUUUCUUGGCUGGACUCGCGUUCGUUUUAUUUUGAAAGGUCCGUCGUCCCCUCUGCACUGUUCUGGUUCUUCUUUGGCUUCAGAGAGUGCCCGAGUUUGCUAAAUCAGGUCACGUGAGGCGUCUGGAAUGAUCAAACUUGGGCCUGAUUAACAACAUCUGUCAGUGCAGCGGCGGCAGCGGAGCACAUGCUUUCUUAUGCAAACUUUGAUACAAGACGUGUCGAACCUUUUUUUGAUAUGCAUCUGCUUUUAUUUUUACGUUUUUAUGUGAAACUUGAGUCGCUUUCUUUUCUUUGGACGUUCUGGCAGACACGGAUGCCAGAGCACGCCGUUUAGGUGUUAAAUGUUGCAGCAACCAUCCGUGUUCAGCGGGUUUCUUUGUUUUUCUGGGAGGAGCACCAGAAGAUUUUUCCAUGGAUGUAUGAAGAAAAACUGGACACCUGUUCUCCACUGACACAGUGCCGUUUGUAGGGCAGUCCUACCGCAGAACGCUUACCGGUGAUUGGUAGAAGUAGCCUGCGGAUUUGGAGUAACAUCACCCCAAGUUUGACCAGCACUUGGUUCAAACAUGAACGCGGUCGACUGAUUGUGUCCGCUGCAAGUUUCUUCCUGGGAAGUUACCCAACAUUGACCUCAUCAGCACCUUGUCAGUGGAACGCAGGAGGAAGAACAUCGAAAAAGUAGUCCUAGCUUUGUCUGGCUUGUGGGUUAAGUCUUUUCCUGGCAGGUUUUCAGAGAAAUCGGUGCUCUGAUUGGUUCUGCUGUGUUCACUGACUGUUUGAUUCAUGGCUUGGCUACAGAGUAGGAGAUCUGUGGGGGAAACGAGGCAUGCAUUAGGCCGGAGUGUCUGCCCUGCAUCAGCUCUCUGAAUACAUCCAUGGAUUUAGGUUCUUCGUUGUAGUCUUGAUUUGACUGAUGUGGCUUGUCGACUGUCGGGAUCCCAGCAGAGCUGCGAGGGUUCGGGGAGGGAGGCUCUCUCUAAAUUGCUUCUCAGUUUCGAUUUCGCCGAGCUGUCCAGGUGAACUUAUCCAAAGAACACUGAGAACACACAUUUUGUCUCUGCAUAUCAUUCGGAUGUCGUUUUCCUGCGUUAGCAUCGCGCUUGUGCAUUCCCGCCCGUGGUCACAUUAACCAUUCAUGCGUUAAAAAAAAAGACUGUCCUGGGAGGUCGUUCCUGCGAGGUAGUUUGCUCUGACUUUUAAGUUUUAUCAGUUUUAAAACGAUCAAGUCAUGAUUGUGGCCUUCUAGUAUUCUGUCAGUACAUGACGUCAUUAAUCUCUCGUGCCCGCCCGCCCAUCUGUCUGGACCCAAACGUACACCUGCAGCUUCUUACCUCAUCCACAGCUGAUUCCAUCGGGGGUGUGUUGAGUGCAAAAAAAAGAAAAGUUCAAAAAAAGAAAAAACAAAGAGAAGUCUUUUUUUAUCUUCCAUUUGGUGAGAUGCAUUGUAGCGAUAUGAAUAAAGAAAAAGUUCACCUGGUGUGCUGAAUAAUGUGUAAAUUGGUAAUUACACAAUCUGAAUAUUUGUAUAAUUGUUUGUAUUUUUUCAUAAUGAUUUUGGAAAGGAAUGUGUUUAUUUUUUUGACUUCUGUUCCAGAUGUGUCUUCUGUUGGCCUGACAUUGUGACUGGUCUGGUGGGAUUCUUACCUCUGUAUUGAGCCUCUUCUGUGAUGAAUUCUUUGUAUGCAGUGUUUAGGAAAUACUGUAGGGAACAUGGGGAGGAGUUGAUAUUAGGAGCAUUUGAUCAAUUUGUAUUUAUUUAUUUUAUCAUUUUGUUAAUAAAUUGUGAAAAGCAGACCGUCUGGUACCUGCCUGUUUAUUUCUUGGGCUGUAUUUAAGAUUUUGUUUUUAAGAAAAAAGCCAUGUUAAUUACGAACAAAUGUUCGUAGAGUCCCUAACAAUAAAACAGCCGGCC
ensembl:lncRNA